UCCCUGGUAGUCCAGUGGUUAAGACUCUGCACUCCCAAUGCAGGGAGCCAAGUUCGAUCCCUGGUCAGGGAA